AAUUGAAUUUCAUAUUGAGAUCUGUUUUUAUCUUUAUUUUUUCCAUAGGGGGAAGAGGGAUUUUGCAUCUCGUGAUUGAACUAAAUGUAAAAUAAAUUCCACAAAAUCUUUAGAUUUAUUCGUAAUAUAGCCUAUCGAAAAGUUUUGACUUGAGAAUAAUAUAGGUUUAUUAGGCCCAUUUAUUUUUUGAUUGCUCAUUUUGAUGACACUUGGAACACUGAUUGAAAUAUAUUCUUCCAGUGGAGGAGUUUUUUGUGGAUUCCGUUCCCGGACCACCAUGCUCUCAAUCCGAUGAAGAGAAAUCCUAAACAAGGUGAGGCAAACUUUUCUCCUUAAAUUUGUUAGGACAGGAUACAUUAGAUCAAUAAAGAAAGCAUUGUUAUCUUUUUAGCAGACAGUUUGGAUUCAUUAACAAACUUGAACAUUCUAAAGCUGUAAUUUAGUUUGAUCAGACUGGCAGUGCUAGCAGAGUGACCAGCACGUGAAUAGAAAAAUAGUCAUCUUUUCACUAAUAGUUGUAAUUUUCCUAGUUUUCAAUCAGCACCAGAAGCUAGAGUUUGAGGACUAUUUUUCUCUACCAUCUUAUUUUGAUGUACUGAUGAAAGUGUCAUAUUAUCCUGAUCCGUAUGGAGCUUUUAUAGACUAUUUAGAGAAAGCAAUCUCAGUUAAUACACAAUAAAUAUUGCUAAAAAGGCCUAAAUUAAGCUGUACGCCUCUCCCUAUAUUACUACUGGGUUUCAAUUUCAAAGUUUCCUAGUUUUGCUUUAAACAGUUACGCGCUAUGACACCCUCUUUUUACCUGGGUUCUUACCAAUCAAGAG
rnacentral:lncRNA from 1 species